UGCGUAGGCGGACUAAUAAGUCAGUGGUGAAAUCUCUCGGCGCAACCGGGAAACUGCCAUUGAUACUGUUAGUCUUGAGUUCGGUUGAGGUAGGCGGAAUGUGUAAUGUAGCGGUGAAAUGCUUAGAUAUUACACAGAACACCAAUUGCGUAGGCAGCUUACUAGACCGACACUGACGCUGAGGCAUGAAAGCGUGGGUAGCGAACAGGAUUAGAUACCCUGGUAGUCC
rnacentral:rRNA from 1 species